rnacentral:lncRNA from 1 species
UUCAUUUCCUUGGUUGUUCAGUUUAUGGCAAAAGACCCUCAGCUGUGUUUUGUUUACUAAUUCCCCUAAGCCUGCCUUAAAUCCAGACUGCCAGGGCCACAGGAAAUCUUUCAGACCCCUGACAGGUACGGUGUCUUCCUUUGGCUUUGGUAUCAAGGUAAUGCUGGCCUCAUAAGAUAUGGGGUCUCACUAUGUUGUCCAUGCUGAUCUCAAACUCCUGGGCUCAAGCAAUCUUCCCACCUCAGCCUCCCAAAGUGCUGGGAUUACAGGAGCACAAAGGAAAGGCCAUGCGAGGACACAGGGAGAAGACAGGCCCCUACCAGUCAGGAAGGGAGCCCUCACCAGAAACUGAGCUGGCCAGCACAAUGGUCUUGGACUUGUAGCUCCAGAACUGUGAGGAAAUAAAUUUCUGUUGUUGAAGCC